CCUGCCCCCAGAGGCAUUGCAGGUGUGUUUGUGCCAUAUGAAUGUCAGUAAGAGGCAGAGAAGAUAAAGGCUAUGUCUAUACUCAGCUCAGUGUCCUAACCUAUUAUCAUCUGAGUGAUUAGUAACCUAACAUU